GAUGAACGCUGGCGGCGUGCCUAAUACAUGCAAGUCGAGCGAACAGACGAGGAGCUUGCUCCUCUGACGUUAGCGGCGGACGUGUGAGUAACACGUGGAUAACCUACCUAUAAGACUGGGAUAACUUCGGGAAACCGGAGCUAAUACCGGAUAAUAUAUUGAACCGCAUGGUUCAAUAGUGAAAGACGGUUUUGCUGUCACUUAUAGAUGGAUCCGCGCCGCAUUAGCUAGUUGGUAAGGUAACGGCUUACCAAGGCAACGAUGCGUAGCCGACCUGAGAGGGUGAUCGGCCACACUGGAACUGAGACACGGUCCAGACUCCUACGGGAGGCGGCAGUAGGGAAUCUUCCGCAAUGGGCGAAAGCCUGACGGAGCAACGCCGCGUGAGUGAUGAAGGUCUUCGGAUCGUAAAACUCUGUUAUUAGGGAAGAACAAAUGUGUAAGUAACUAUGCACGUCUUGACGGUACCUAAUCAGAAAGCCACGGCUAACUACGUG
rnacentral:rRNA from 1 species